CUGAACCAGCCAAGUAGCGUGAAGGAUGAAGGUCCUACGGAUUGUAAACUUCUUUUAUACGGGAAUAAAGUAUCCUACGUGUAGGAUUUUGUAUGUACCGUAUGAAUAAGCAUCGGCUAACUCCGUGCCAGCAGCCGCGGUAAUACGGAGGAUGCGAGCGUUAUCCGGAUUUAUUGGGUUUAAAGGGAGCGCAGACGGGUCGUUAAGUCAGUUGUGAAAGUUUGCGG
rnacentral:rRNA from 1 species